UGGGCCCGGGGGCGGUGGCGGCCAUUUUGUACCUAACCCUAACUGAGAAGGGCGUAGGCGCGGCGCUUUUGCUCCCCGCGCGCUGUUUUUCUCGCUGACUUUCAGCGGGCGGAAAAGCCUCGGCCUACCGCCAUCCACGAUUCAGUCUGAAGUAAACAAAACAUGUCAGCCGCUGGCUCGCUCACUACUCCCGGGAACCCGCGGUGGCUCGCCCGCCCAGCCCCCGCGCCCGCCUAAGGCCGCGGUCUGCCCGGGGCUUCUCCGGAGGCGCCCAUUGCCGACGCUCCAGUGUGUGUUUCACUAUUUUACAAGUAUGCUUGAUUCUUGUUAUUUGUGGUAGUUAUGUUCUGUAAAGUCACUAUAAACACUGAAUUAGUGAAUAUGGAACCAUUUCUCCUAGGGGAAGUACAGGAUUAGGUUCCUGAGAGCCUCUAGUCACAACGUUUUCAUCUACUGAUCAAUGUAUAGUCUUGUUUUAUGUGUAUUUCUGUUUAAAGACACCUUAUUUAAUAUACAUUAUUUAUUGAUUAACGUUGAACUCAUAUCCAACGGCACUAUAGCUCUUGCCUGUACAUAAGCUUACCUACACGUGUAUUUUCUCUGUAAGUCAUGUCACAGCCUUCUUGCACUUAGGAAUACCAGACAGCACUUCAGCACUAUGCUUUGGGGUCAUUUUAAACAGCAAGAUCAGGGAAAGGAAUGGAGCGGGUACCCGCGCGCGGUGCGCUUCUCUGAGCUGUGGGACGUGCACUCGGGACUCGGCUCAGACACUU
rnacentral:telomerase_RNA from 1 species